rnacentral:rRNA from 1 species
UACGUAGGGGGCAAGCGUUGUCUGGAUUUAUUGGGCGUAAAGAGCGUGUAGGCGGCCAGGUAGGUCUGCUGUGAAAACUCGAGGCUUAACCUCGAGCUGUCGGCGGAAACCAUCUGGCUAGAGUCCGGAAGAGGAGAAUGGAAUUCCCGGUGUAGCGGUGAAAUGCGCAGAUAUCGGGAAGAACACCCGUGGCGAAGGCGGUUCUCUGGGACGGUACUGACGCUGAGACGCGAAAGCGUGGGGAGCGAACAGG